CCCCCCCCAGGAUUAGUUGGCAGCUAAUAUAGUGGUAACUUGCAUCAUGAAAUCAUAAAAUUCCUGUGACAGUGGAGGAAGCGGGAAUCCCUCAGCAGGAAGGCAGAGAGAGCAGGACUACUCUUCUGCCACAGUGCUCUUACCAAGUUCAAUUUAAACCAUCCUGAAAGUGCACCACUAGUCAGGCUCUGUGGCGUUGGAGGAUCUUCUGAAUCUUAUACUUAAAGAUGCCUUUAAAAAGAAAGAGCUCAUUUUCUACAGACAGCUUUGUCAUCUUGGACCAGAGAUAUUGGUUACCUUGAAAGAAGAGGCAGACUAUGGGCCCAAAUUAGGGAUUGGAAGACUUCAGGAUAACAUGGAGGCAUGUCAUGUAGAGUAUUGACACCUGAAGAACAGUUCCUAGGCAGGUGAUCGUACAUUGCUGUUGGAAAAUGACAAAUAGGUAAAUUUCCUGUGUUACGAGGACUUUAUGUAGUCUUAAAGACUUGCAUUGUUCUGUACAUGUGGAGUUAGGAGGGGAUUUCGCACUGCAAAGAAUGGUAUCUUUAUUGCUGUUCUUAAGAAGAACCAUUAAAGGCAUUAACAGAAGCCAGCAGUCAAUAUUCUUCAGUUUUUGACGUUAGAAUAAAUCCUGUUUGUUUUCAGUGCUUUUAAGCUUUACAAAAAUGAGAGGGCAGUGGCUUUAGUGAAAGCUGGAGUAUGCUGUCUACUCAUAUUUGUUUAAAAAAAAAAACAGAAAGUGUUGGGGAGAAUAGCUGAAGAUGCUUCUUAAUAAAUACACAGCUUCAAUUUUGAUUGAACUCUUAUAAAAGUUGCAUCUUUCAAGCAUGUAGUUGUACAAAGUGGUCUGGAAUGCCUCUACCUUUUUUAACAUCACAUUUGGAAACGAAAAUUUCAACUCCUUUUAUACAAAUAUAAUCACUUUGUAAGAUGCUGUGUAAGUAUUUGUAAUUGACAGCUGAGUUUGAUAAAGCAGCAAGAGACUUAA